rnacentral:lncRNA from 1 species
CUUCUUCCACCAUGAUUGUAAGAUUCCAGAGGCCUUCUCAGUCAUGAAGAAUUAUAACGUAAUGAAAGGAAAGAGAGCAACAUUUAUAAUGGAAGAAAAAAUGCCUAUGAUGAUCUCUACCCUUUGGAACAAAAACAUCUCAGUAAUGCUUCUCUUCCCGUUUGCUAGGGGAGCAGCAGAAAAAUUCAUUUCAAUUUCUAUUCAGUAUAGGGGUUUUAUAUGUCAUGCACAGAAAUAGACUGUCACUGUCAGGAAAUGUGCCAUAUGUGCCAAAGCAAGUGGGAGGGAGACUAUGAAUGGCUUCAAUGAAUGAACUGACUUGAAUGCAGGGUUUCUUUUUUAAUGAUAAUAGAACUGGAAAAGUUUGCCUGUGAAUGUAUUUCUAACACUAAAACUAUUUUAAAGGGCAAAAAUCAUCUGAGAGAAACAACUCAGGGGUCAGAUAAUUAAUUGUUAUUGGCCUGGAUUCUUCAAAAAAGUCAUGAAAAAACAUUAAACAAAUAAAUAAAUGUAUAUUGAAAUAGACAACAGUAGAAUUACAGUAAUAAUACAGUAUGUGACAUUUAAUUGGAUCCUGAACUAAAAGAAGAACAAUUAAUGGGGAAAUUAAAAUAUAAACUGAAUAUUGCAUAAAAUUGUUAUAUUUUAGAAAUAGUAUUUUAAGAGCUAUAAUUAUAUUUUAGUCAUUUUGCAGCAUAUAGUAUUUCUUAAAAGGUGUGAAAUGAAGCAUUUAGGACUGAAAAGUCAUGACAUCUACCAUUUAAUAUCUGUUGAUGUGUAUGAAUUUACACACAAAGCAAUGUUUAUUUUGCACAGAUCCAUAUUAAUUGAAGCACAUGCUUGUCCAAAGUCUAUGAUUUUCAAGAUUUAGUGAUAGUUGAGAUAUAAUUCUAGUUACCAUGUAACUGUGGAAACUGAGGACUUUCUACAUGUCAAGAGUAGCAAAACAUUAAUAAAAUAUUUUAACAGGUGGAUUUAGUCAGUGGGUGUAAAGGUGAUUCUUUUAUUCUUUUUCAAUUUUUCUCUAUAAAAAUUCAAAAUAAAUACAGAAGUUUAAUUAAUUUUACUUAUUUAUAUUCAUAUAAAAUCUAAAACAUUACCCCUGUGGUGCAUGCAUGCACAUGCACACACACACACACACACACACACACACACCAGACACUUACUUGGAAGGAUUAAAAAAUUAAAUAGAUAUUAGUAAAAGUAUAAUUAUCAUUACAGACUCAGUAGGAGUAUUUCUGAAACUUCACGAAAUUACUAUUAGAAUAGUUUGCAUUAAUGAAUAUAAAUCAUUUGAAUUAAUUAGAAUUACAUAAAAAGCUGGCUUUUUAGAAAAGUACUAGCUUAGGCAGUCAUCUCCAUGUCAAUAGGUAUCUAUGAGUCAGUUUUAAAUGUGUUGCUGUCAAUUAGGACUGUAUCAUUAUGAUCAUUAAAUCAUGGAAUCAAAUACAGAAAUUUAGAAAUUAUGUAGAUAAUAGUAUAUGGGAAAUUCUCAUCCUAAAUAUAAUUUUUUAUCUAAAUAAAUUUAUCCUGAACAAAAUUAUUUUAUAAUUUCUUAUUCUGACUUUUAUUUAUAUUCCAACAUAAACACAUACACAUAUUUAUAUGUGAAAAAAUCAUGGUACAGAAGUUCUUAAAAAGAUAACUAGAACCAUAGGACUUUAAUUGCUGAAGACAAUGAAACCUAGAGAAUGUACACAGUGGUCAUGACUAAACAUGUCAGUCAUUGAGGAAAAUCUUAAAUGUUAAUUAUAUGCUUGAAAACAGCAAGAGGUAAAAUUGUUUCAUUUUAGCUUGGUCCAAUUAAAUAUGGAGUAUUCAAAACAAUGAAGUAGAAAGAACUAAAACUGAAAUUUCAUCAAAGAAUGUUCAUGUAGCCUGUUAUGUUUUUUGGGGUACAGAUUCUGAGAUGGAGUUUAGAGUGCAGAAUAAAUAUUUAGGAUUACCCUUAAGAGCAGCAACUGCUGAGGGGAGCUGGAGGCAGCAGGAAGCAGGCUUGGGUCAAGGAAGUGUUGAGUUGUCAUGUGGGAUCAUAGCAUGGACAAAUCCAUUAUGAUAAACUCAUUAUGAGUCAUGAAAUUACAAUUCCUCUUCAGAGUUGACCUGAAGAUUAGCUUGAGAGGGCCUGAUGUUUAGAUUCAUACAUAGAUCAGUUAAUAGAAGUGAGUUGCUCCAGGGAAUGAGUAUGAUUUUGGGCAAAGCCUCUCUGCAACUGAGGCAGUUCCUGGGAAUGACAGCCAAAUGUUAAAUGGAGGCACAGCACCGAUGCCAU